rnacentral:rRNA from 1 species
AACGAACGCUGGCGGCAGGCUUAACACAUGCAAGUCGAACGGGUGUAGCAAUACAUCAGUGGCAGACGGGUGAGUAACACGUGGGAACCUUCCUAGGGGUACGGAACAACUCAGGGACACUUGAGCUAAUACCGUAUACGUCCGUGAGGAGAAAGAUUUAUCGCCCUUAGACGGGCCCGCGUCGGAUUAGGUAGUUGGUGGGGUAACGGCCUACCAAGCCUACGAUCCGUAGCUGAUCUUAGAGGAUGAUCAGCCACACUGGGACUGAGACACGGCCCAGACUCCUACGGGAGGCAGCAGUGGGGAAUCUUGGACAAUGGGCGUAAGCCUGAUCCAGCCAUGCCGCGUGAGUGAAGAAGGCCUUAGGGUUGUAAAGCUCUUUUACCAGGGACGAUAAUGACGGUACCUGGAGAAUAAGCCCCGGCAAACUUCGUGCCAGCCGCCGCGGUAAGAC